rnacentral:sRNA from 1 species
AGCAGCCGCGGUAAUUCCAGCUCCAAUAGCGUAUAUUAAAGUUGCUGCAGUUAAAAAGCUCGUAGUUGAACUUCGGGGUUUACCCAUUGGUCAGGCUUAAUUGUCUGUACUGGUGAGAUAAAUCUCUACCUUCUGAGGAACUUUCAUGUCAUUAAUUUGGUGUGAUUGGAAAUCAGGACUGUUACUUUGAAAAAAUUAGAGUGUUUAAAGCAGGCUAACGUCUGAAUACAUUAGCAUGGAAUAAUGAAAUAGGACGGACUGAUUCUAUUUCGUUGGUUUCUAGGAUCACCGUAAUGAUUAAUAGGGAUAGUUGGGGGCAUUAGUAUUCAAUUGUCAGAGGUGAAAUUCUUGGAUUUAUUGAAGACUAACUACUGCGAAAGCAUUUGCCAAGGAUGUUUUCAUUAAUCAAGAACGAAAGUUAGGGGAUCGAAGACGAUCAGAUACCGUCGUAGUCUUAACCAUAAACUAUGCCGACUAGGGAUCGGACGAAGUUAAUUUUAUAAUGACGCGUUCGGCACCU